UUUACCUUUGAAUCCGGGAUAACUGUUCGAAAGAAUCGCUAAUACCGAAUGAAGUCAAUGUUUCCUAGGAGAUAUUGAUGAAAGACAGCCUCUUCUUGAAAAGCUGUUGUUUGAAGAUGAGUCCGCGCACCAUUAGCUUGUUGGUGGGGUAAAGGCCUACCAAGGCUCUGAUGGUUAGCUGGUCUGAGAGGAUGAUCAGCCACACUGGAACUGACACACGGUCCAGACUCCUACGGGAGGCAGCAGUGAGGAAUUUUGCGCAAUGGGGGCAACCCUGACGCAGCAACGCCGCGUGAGUGAAGAAGGCCCUUGGGUCGUAAAACUCUGUCAAUGGGGAAGAAGUUAUUGCAUAUUAAUAGUAUGUAGUAUUGACGGUACCCAUGAAGGAAGCACCGGCUAACUCCGUGCCAGCAGCCGCGGUAAUACGGGGGGUGCAAGCGUUAUUCGGAAUUAUUGGGCGUAAAGGGCACGCAGGCGGUCCAACAGGUCAGAUGUGAAAGCCCGGGGCUCAACCCUGGAAGUGCAUUUGAAACCGUAGGACUUGAGUACGGUAGAGGAGAGGGGAAUUCCUGGUGUAGAGGUGAAAUUCGUAGAUAUCAGGAGGAACACCGGUGGCGAAGGCGCCUCUCUG
rnacentral:rRNA from 1 species